CCCCAGGUAUGACCUGAGUGUCCUACAUCCCCAGGUAUGUUCUGACUGUCCUACAUCCCCAGGUAUGAUCUGACUGUCCUACAUCCCCAGGUAUGUUCUGACUGUCCUACAUCCCCAGGUAUGUAUGACCUGACUGUCCUACAUCCCCAGG
rnacentral:lncRNA from 1 species